CACCCCCUACCCAGAGCACGCUAGGCCCCUCUGCCUAGAGCUGGGGGGAACAGGACCCAGAAAUGUCAUGGUUCAGACAGAGGCAUCAACACAACACGGACCUUCUGUGCCCUAACCAUGGCUGGUGACUCUUCCAGGAACAUGGUUUCCUGGACCUGAAAAGUAAGAACGUCAGAGGCCCCAUCAACCCUAUUGUGAGGAAGCCCAAGCCACACAGAGAGGCCACUACAGGUGUUCUGGCCAACAGCCCCAGCUGAGGUCUCGGCCAAUGGCCAGCUUCAACCACUAGACAUAUGCAUGGAUGACUCUUCAAGUGAUUCCUGCCCCCAGACUGCGAACCAUCCGAGGUAAUGCCAGGCGGAACAGAGAUGAACCUCAGAGCCCUGCUCAGAUGCAGAUAGGAGGACAAAAUAAAUGAUCCGUGAUGGCCUGGUCUCUUGGCCCAGCUUCUUCCUACCUGUCCCUCCACCCCAUCUCAGAACCAGCUCACCUGCAGAGAAGCCCACUAUGCUUCUGCUCAAGUCACCUCCACACCCUCAUUUCACCUGGGAGACAAUCCCUCGAAGGCUUUAGGGAGGUGAGUGAUGGCACAGCAAAUAAGCAGCUGAGCAAAGAUUCGAACCCCAGGCUCUUGACUCCAAGUCUGGACUCUUUCUUCACUAGCUGCCUCCAGUACCCAAAGGGGCAUCACUGUCCACAUUACUGCAGGGGCAGGACCACACCAGGAGGUAUUGGGGGUCAGCCAAGCUCUGUGUCUGCCAGAGAGGCUCUCAAAGCACAUCCUCAGGCAAGAGACCUAAUGCUGCCCCUAGGCAGAGGUCCCGUGGCCACAGUGGGAGGCACUGGGCUGGGAAAUACAGGGAGGGGAGGCCCCCACUUGGUCAGGUAUGGACAUGAAUGUAAGGGCUAGGCCGAUCUGUCAAGGUUACAGCCAACCUCUCUGUGCUUCAGCCUCCCCCCAACCCGUGACAUGAGGACCGCGGUAGCCACACAGCUGGGUCGUUGUGAGCAUAAAAUGAGGCAAAGACCCCUUAGCCUGGCAUGAACAUCGACAUUACUGUCCGUGGUGCCAGGGAAGCUGGGCUGCUGGGCCGCACAGGAGUUGCCUGGAGUCCCUGUGAGGAGGCAGACCCAGGCUUAUAAGGAGGAGACAACUGACUCCCGGAUCCCCACCCUCCAGACCUUUGAAUUUGCUGAGAAUGUUUUGUUUUAGGAAUCAAAUCUCUACUGUAAAAAAGAGGUUUAUAAUUCUAGUAGUUUCGAGGAAUGCAUCUGGGAGAGUCACUGGUUGAUUGGAGAGUCACUUUGGGUUAAAUUUUAGUUUUUUAAAACUCAGAUUUCCUUCAGGACAUUUCGUUCAUUUGUCUGGUGAAGACAAGCAGGGUCAGGAAAUAGGAAUGUGCGUUGACAGCCCACUGCUGGUCACCUGGCUUUGGAGCCUAGCUCUGCACGUUAUCCAGUGCAAGUUAUUCAACCUGCUAAGCCUCAGUUUCCUCAUUUGUAAAAUAGAGGAAGAUGAGAUACUGUGUGUGAAGGGUCCAGCCCCUGCUCCUGCUGCACCUGCUGAGUUGUAGCUCCACAGGGGUCCUUUAAAGUGGCACCUACAAGGUGCUGAGGAAAAGAUCCCUUGGGGGUGGGGAGAAACCUGGGUACACUUCCUGGAGGUGGUGGCUCUGAAGAAAGAAGAAGGCAGUCGAGGUAGAGGGAAUAGCUUGUGAGUAAGAAGAGCAGGGCAGCAGGAAACCACAGGGCCCACAAAAAUGGUUACAACUGGGAUGUGAGACUCAGAGAGGGAAGAUGCCGAGGACGGUGGGGAUGAGAAUGCUUCGGGAGCUCGGGUGACAGGCUCCGAGUCACCUGCAGAGGCGGGUUCCAACUGGGGCUCUGGGCUGCUUCUGGGAAGAGUUCCUGGAUCUAUUCUCAGAGCUCCCAAGGGACAGGGAGGGCUGAGUGAUUCAGGUUUGCUGUGCUGUUGACACAGCUUCCUGACAUGCAUGUUGACAGGCAGGUUCCUGGAGGGCGUGGCUUCCCACCCGCCACCCCUGCAGCCUCUCGACCCACAGGAGGGUCAAGGGAAGUGAGGUUCGACCCAUGCCUGAGUUAUUCAUCAAACAGCCCAGAAAGCCAACAAGAGACGCCCACGCUAAUAAUAAAAAUAACAAUUCCUUAAAUGUGAUCAGAAGCAUGGGCGCUCUCUUAGCUGAGGCUGGCCUCCCUGUGAGGUCACUCUCACUACCCUCUUUCCACAGCCAAGGAAACUGAGACUGGGGAGGGAAGUGGCUCCACUGAGGCCAGUCAUUAGGUGAUUGUGCCCCCAGGGUGUCUGUGUGUGUUGUGGGGGCAGGGAGACUGGGCACAGUGGGGAAGAGAGCUCUGCCUGGGGACAGUAAUGCAGUGGGUUCCCCCAGUCUUGGGAGGGGUUAAGGGGGUAUCGCUGGGCCCAGGGUCUCUCAUUGCUUUCCUCACAGGCCCUGCAGCAGGAGCAGCAAACUGGAAAGCCCUGGAACAGCGUGCCUUAGGCGGGCACAGUAAGGUGGCAGUGAGACCCCAAUGGGGUGGACAAAGCUUGGUGUGGAUGGAGGGGGUCUUGCAGGGGCCAGAUAAGGGAGGUGGACUCUGAGCAGAGAGAUGGGGGCAGGUCUCCUGGGCAAUCUGCCGGCGUACCAUGGGGAGACUGAGGUCCAGGAAAAAACGGCUUGUGUCGCCCAGGCUGGAUUAGACUAGACCAGCCCAGUGGGAAGGGAUAAAUUGGGAGUUCGAGAUUUACAGAUACUAACUACUGUGUAUAAAAAAGAUAAACAAGUUUCUACUGUAUAGCACAGGGAACUAUAUUCAAUAUCUUGUGGUAACCUAUUAUGAAAAAGAAUAUGAAAACAAAUAUAUGAAUGUAUAUGUAUGACUGAAAUAUUACGCUGCACACAGGAAAUUGAUGUAACAUUGUAAACUGACUAUAUUUCAAUUAAAAAUAAAAUUAAAGAAAAAAAAAAAGAAUAGACCAGCCCAGGUCUGAACUGAGUCCCGUUCCCCUGCGGCUCUGAAGCAGUCCCCACCAGGCGUCCUGAAGUGUGAGCAUCCCAGCCGCACCGCCGUCAUAAGUGCAGCAGCCUCCCAAGGGGCCUGCUUCAGGGGUGAGGCGUAUUCGGAUGGAUGCUUCCUAGCUGUGCUGGUGACACCUCUGAUACCCCAUCUCCCUUGAUAGACAGGGCCCCUCCUCCCCCACAUUAAAGGUAAGGCCUGAUUCUCCUGCUAUCUGGGCACAGUGUGUGAGUGGACAGACUGAUUUUUGAAUUCCAAUCCCUGCUGGACCGAGCUCUCCCCUAUGGCCAGCUGUUCUUUCCCUGGCCGGGCAGCCAGCACCAGACCAGACAAUGGUUAGUUGUUGGAACACUCCCAGGCCUGUCCAGAUUUGGCCUGCCAGGCCUUCCAGAGCCAGAGGGGACCUUCCUGCAGGCUCUGACUAACAGCGCCCUGGUUCUGUGUAGCAUCACAACAGAGCCUGUUGCCAGGGCGACCUCCAGACCUGGUGGCCUGGGACCUGGGGUUGCUGGCAUAGCACUUAUGGUGCAGCACCCCCCGGCUUAGCUGGGCUAUGCAGGACAAUUAGGCAGGAGGAGGCCCUGUCUGGGCCUUUGGGGCUGGCUCAGCCUGCAGGGAGAGCAGAGAGGAAAUGGAGUCCUUGGCUUCUCUCUCUUUUUCCCAGGGCCUUGGUCUUCUGAUUUCUCUAGCAGGGACCCCACAUGGUCACUUCAUCACCUGGACCAGGGUCCCAGGCAGCAGCAUGGGUGCCUCUGGAGCUUUCUCACCCCUGUAUCCCAUCCAUCACCACAGGCAUUCUCCCCUCCCUACUGCACCCUGUCUUCAGCCCCAGACUCAACUCAGGCUCUCUCUUGAGCCCAGUCUGGAUCACAGCCCAGCCUCCUGGCUAGACUCUGGGCUUCAUGUUCCCAAAGUGGCCUCAAUGCAUCCAGCCCUUUCCUCCAGGAUCCCUCCCUAGCUUCCCCAUCACUCUUGGCCACAGAUGAACCUCACCGUCCCAUCAGUGAAAGCAAAGUUCAUGUGAUCUAACCAAAAUGUGCAUUUAUUUGUAAAUUAUAUAUAUAAUCACUGUACAAACAAAUUGAAUGAAUUAUAAAAUACAUACCAAAAAAUAGAAACUGAAAAAAGAAUAAGAGAGUAA